UACGUAGGGUCCGAGCGUUGUCCGGAUUUAUUGGGCGUAAAGAGCUCGUAGGCGGCUCAGUAAGUCGGAUGUGAAAACUCAGGGCUCAACCCUGAGACGCCAUCCGAUACUGCUGUGGCUUGAGUCUGGUAGGGGAGAACGGAAUUCCAGGUGUAGCGGUGAAAUGCGCAGAUAUCUGGAGGAACACCGAUGGCGAAGGCAGUUCUCUGGGCCAGUACUGACGCUGAGGAGCGAAAGCGUGGGGAGCAAA
rnacentral:rRNA from 1 species